rnacentral:rRNA from 1 species
CCCUUAGAUGUUCUGGGCUGCACGCGCGCUACACUGACGCACGCAACAGGUGCCUGCUCCGAGAGGACUGGGUAAUCAUUUGAGUGUGCGUCGUGAUGGGGAUAGAAUAUUGUAAUUAUUACUCUUCAACGAGGAAUUCCUAGUAAGCGCCAGUCAGCAGCUUGCGCUGAUUACGUCCCUGCCCUUUGUACACACCGCCCGUCGCUCCUACCGAUUGAAUGCUCAGGUGAGCCAUUCGGACUUUCAUCAUGCUGGUUUCCAGUUUUGAUGAAGGAAAGUCUUGCGAACCUUAUCAUUUAGAGGAAGGAGAAGUCGUAACA